CCCUUAGAUGUUCUGGGCUGCACGCGUGCUACAAUGGCGUUUCCAGCAAGUCUGCGAACCCGAGAGGGCCAGCGGAUCUUCGAAUUGGCGUCGUGAUCGGGACAGUCGAUUGCAAUUAUUUGACUCAAACGAGGAAUUCCUUGUAAUCACGAUUCAUCAUAUCGCGCUGAAUACGUCCCUGCCCUUUGUACACACCGCCCGUCGCUCCUACCGAUUGAGCGAUCCGGUAAAUGUUUUGGAUUGGUGCCGGGGCGGCUAGCUGCCGGUCGCUACGAAAUUUUGUGAACCUUAUCGCUUAGAGGAAGGAAAAGUCGUAACA
rnacentral:rRNA from 1 species